rnacentral:rRNA from 1 species
CCUACGGGAGGCAGCAGUGGGGAAUAUUGCGCAAUGGGCGAAAGCCUGACGCAGCGACGCCGCGUGAGGGAUGAAGGUCUUCGGAUCGUAAACCUCUGUCAGCAGGGAAGAACGGUCACUGUGCUAAUCAGCAGUGAAUUGACGGUACCUGCAAAGGAAGCACCGGAUAACUCCGUGCCAGCAGCCGCGGUAAUACGGAGGGUGCGAGCGUUAAUCGGAAUUACUGGGCGUAAGGCGCUCGUAGGCGGCAUGUCAAGUCAAGGGUGGAAUGCCCGCGCUCAACGUGGGAACUGCGUUUGAAACUGGAAAACUGGAGUGUGUGAGAGGAUAGUGGAAUUCCAGGUGUAGGAGUGAAAUCCGUAGAUAUCUGGAGGAACAUCAGUGGCGAAGGCGACUAUCUGGCACAUAACUGACGCUGAGGAGCGAAAGCGUGGGUAGCAAACAGGAUUAGAUACCCGGGUAGUC